UCAUGUUAUUCUUAUUUUUAUGAAAUUUGAAGUUUAUGCUGGCACAUUUCCUAAUUUAAAUGAGGUUGACUGAAAUUCCUUUAAUAACAUUUUUCAUUUAUGCAGGAAUCUGAUCUGUGUUUAUUCGAAAAAGCAUAUGCUUGAUGAUCCAGAACUUAUGGAGAUCAAAAGAAAAGCAAAUACACCAAGUCUGAAGGAAAUGGUUACGCUUUUAAGGAGUGCAUCACAAAUAAUUUGGAUUGACCAGUUUCCAACUCUGUGGAUUGGGAAUUGCUCUUGUUGUUGAAGAUGGAAAUAUGACAUCUUUACCCUAUUUA